rnacentral:tRNA from 1 species
GGCCGCCUGGCGAAAUGGCAUCGCGUCUGACUACGAUUUCGUGUGAUCAGGAGAUUGCAGGUUCGAGCCCUGCGGUGGUCA